UACGUAGGGGGCAAGCGUUGUCCGGAUUUAUUGGGCGUAAAGAGCUCGUAGGCGGCUCAGCAAGUCAGGUGUGAAACCUCCAGGCUUAACCUGGAGACGCCACCUGAUACUGCUGUGGCUGGAGUCCGGUAGGGGAGCAGGGAAUAUCCGGUGUAGCGGUGAAAUGCGUAGAGAUCGGGAAGAACAUCGGUGGCGAAAGCGCUCUGCUGGACUGCAACUGACACUCAGGGACGAAAGCUAGGGGAGCGAAUGGG
rnacentral:rRNA from 1 species